rnacentral:rRNA from 1 species
UUUAAUUGAAGAGUUUGAUCAUGGCUCAGAUUGAACGCUGGCGGCAGGCCUAACACAUGCAAGUCGAGCGGUAACAUUUCUAGCUUGCUAGAAGAUGACGAGCGGCGGACGGGUGAGUAAUACUUGGGAACAUGCCUUGAGGU